GGUUAAGCGACUAAGCGUACACGGUGGAUGCCCUGGCAGUCAGAGGCGAUGAAGGGCGUGCUAAUCUGCGAUAAGCGCCGGUAAGGUGAUAUGAACCGUUAUAACCGGCGAUACCCGAAUGGGGAAACCCAGUGUGACUCGUCACACUAUCAUUAACUGAAUCCAUAGGUUAAUGAGGCGAACCGGGGGAACUGAAACAUCUAAGUACCCCGAGGAAAAGAAAUCAACCGAGAUUCCCCCAGUAGCGGCGAGCGAACGGGGAGGAGCCCAGAGCCUGAAUCAGCAUGUGUGUUAGUGGAAGCGUCUGGAAAGGCGCGCGA
rnacentral:rRNA from 1 species